GGAAAGAACUGUAGCUUAGUGGACAAGCAUCAGACUUACAUGCAGUAGGUCCCAGGAUCAAUCCCUGGUGUAUCCA